AAUAUUGGACAAUGGGCGCAAGCCUGAUCCAGCCAUGCCGCGUGAGUGAUGACGGCCUUAGGGUUGUAAAGCUCUUUCGCCAGGGACGAUAAUGACGGUACCUGGAUAAGAAGCCCCGGCUAACUUCGUGCCAGCAGCCGCGGUAAUACGAAGGGGGCUAGCGUUGUUCGGAAUCACUGGGCGUAAAGCGCACGUAGGCGGAUCUUUAAGUCAGGGGUGAAAUCCCGAGGCUCAACCUCGGAACUGCCUUUGAUACUGGGGAUCUCGAGUUCGGGAGAGGUGAGUGGAACUGCGAGUGUAGAGGUGAAAUUCGUAGAUAUUCGCAAGAACACCAGUGGCGAAGGCGGCUCACUGGCCCGAUACUGACGCUGAGGUGCGAAAGCGUGGGGAGCAAACAGGA
rnacentral:rRNA from 1 species